rnacentral:rRNA from 1 species
CCUACGGGGGGCUGCAGUGAGGAAUAUUGGUCAAUGGACGAGAGUCUGAACCAGCCAAGUAGCGUGAAGGAUGACUGCCCUAUGGGUUGUAAACUUCUUUUAUAUGGGAAUAACAUGUUCCACGUGUGGGAUUUUGUAUGUACCAUAUGAAUAAGGAUCGGCUAACUCCGUGCCAGCAGCCGCGGUAAUACGGAGGAUCCGAGCGUUAUCCGGAUUUAUUGGGUUUAAAGGGAGCGUAGGUGGAUUGUUAAGUCAGUUGUGAAAGUUUGCGGCUCAACCGUAAAAGUGCAGUUGAAACUGGCAGUCUUGAGUACAGUAGAGGUGGGCGGAAUUCGUGGUGUAGCGGUGAAAUGCUUAGAUAUCACGAAGAACUCCGAUUGCGAAGGCAGUUCACUGGACUGCAACUGACACUGAGGCUCGAAAGUGUGGGUAUCAAACAGGAUUAGAUACCCGGGUAGUC